GCCCGGCUGGCUCAGUCGGUGGAGCUCUCAACCCUUGAUCUUGGGGUCAUGAGUUCAAGCCCCAUGUUGGGCA
rnacentral:tRNA from 1 species